GAAAUCCCCGGGCUCAACCUGGGAACUGCAUUCGAAACUGGCAGGCUAGAGUCUUGUAGAGGGGGGUAGAAUUCCAGGUGUAGCGGUGAAAUGCGUAGAGAUCUGGAGGAAUACCGGUGGCGAAGGCGGCCCCCUGGACAAAGACUGACGCUCAGGUGCGAAAGCGUGGGGAGCAAACAGGAUUAGAUACCCUGGUAGUCCACGCCGUAAACGAUGUCGAUUUGGAGGUUGUGCCCUUGAGGCGUGGCUUCCGGAGCUAACGCGUUAAAUCGACCGCCUGGGGAGUACGGCCGCAAGGUUAAAACUCAAAUGAAUUGACGGGGGCCCGCACAAGCGGUGGAGCAUGUGGUUUAAUUCGAUGCAACGCGAAGAACCUUACCUG
rnacentral:rRNA from 1 species